GCCUGGGUGGCUCGGUCGGUUAAGCGUCUGACUUCAGCUCAGGUCAUGAUCUCACGGCUUGUGGGUUCGAGCCCCGCGUCGGGCU
rnacentral:tRNA from 1 species